UGAAGCGGCAACAGCUCAAAUUUGAAAUCUGGUCCCCUUUGGGGGCCCGAGUUGUAAUUUGAAGAGGAUGCUUUUGGCGAGGCGCCGUCCGAGUUCCCUGGAACGGGACGCCGCAGAGGGUGAGAGCCCCGUACGGUCGGACGCCGAGCCUCUGUAAAGCUCCUUCGACGAGUCGAGUAGUUUGGGAAUGCUGCUCAAAAUGGGAGGUAAACCCCUUCUAAAGCUAAAUACCGGCCAGAGACCGAUAGCGCACAAGUAGAGUGAUCGAAAGAUGAAAAGCACUUUGAAAAGAGAGUUAAAAAGCACGUGAAAUUGUUAAAAGGGAAGCGCUUGCGACCAGACUUGCGCCCGUCGGAUCAACCGUCGCUUGCGGCGGCGCACUCCGGCGGGCUCAGGCCAGCAUCAGUU
rnacentral:rRNA from 1 species